UUUGAUCCUGGCUCAGGAUGAACGCUGGCGGCGUGGAUAAGGCAUGCAAGUCAAACGGAAUAUAUUAAUUUAAUAUGUUUAGUGGCAGACGGGGUAGUAACACGUAGGAACUCACCCAAGAGACGGGCAUAACUAGCCGAAAGGUUAGAUAAUUCCCGAUAGUUCCCGAAAGGGUAAAUCACUUAGAUUGGCUCUGGGAGAGGCCUGCGGGCUAUCAGCUAGUUGGUAGGGUAAAGGCCUACCAAGGCUACGACGGCUAGGGGGAGUGAGAGCUUGGCCCCCACCAAUGGAACUGCGACACGGUCCAUACACCUACGGGUGGCAGCAGCCGAGAAUAUUGGUCAAUGGGCGAAAGCCUGAACCAGCGACGCCGCGUGCAGGACGAAGUCCUUCGGGACGUAAACUGCUUUUUUAGGGGAGGAACGAAAGUGACUGUACCCUAAGAAUAAGGGCUUGCUAACCUCGUGCCAGCAGCCGCGGU
rnacentral:rRNA from 1 species